GAACACAUCGUGCCUUUCUCAUAUGUUAGUUUUACCUAAAGGCUGACUCAAUUUGUUUUUGUAAUAGUAGCUUUAGAAGCUCAAGUAUUAUAUCCCCUUUAAUGAUUCUUACCUUGAUUAACCAGACUUCUGAGUUUUGUCCUAGUUAUGAGAUCUGCCUAUCCAAGCUAUCCCAAAGUCUUCAUAGAAUCGUAUGCCCAAGAGAAAUAGGGUAAAAGCCCAGACUUGCUGGCUUCUCUGGACAGAACCCAGAUAUGAGAUAUGUCCUCAGCUGCAUGGCGGUGGAUCUUAGCCUCUUUUGUUUCAUUAAAAAAAAAAAAAAAAAGUCAAGCAUGAGCUCCACAGUAUGCAAUGCUCCUGGAUUAGAAAAUGACAUGCUGUGCCUCCCUCCAUCCAAGCUGACCACGUGCCAAAUGGUCAGCCCAGUAUGUCUACUGAAUCUUGCAUGAAUGAUGAAAAGAGGUUGUUUUUAGCAGAAGUGACGUCACAGUUUGUGAAAUGUUUGGUGAGAAAAAUAAUCCAUUCCAAGGGGAAAAAAGGACAUAAAAAGAGGUACAUAUACAUAUGUCGAUGGAAAUAUUUUAAGCACCACCCAAAGGUGGGGUUUGGGCACUGAAAGACCAGUUACCAGUCCCAAGUUACCAGUAAAAAGAACCCUCUUGUGUGUGAUGACUACAGAUGGUCUGGAAUGCUAGUAAGCCUGAAGGGUCAGAGGAUCUGGAGGACUGCGAGUUUUAAAAUAUAAUUAGGAUUUUUAAAAAUGCUACAAAAUGUUCUCAUGCAGGACAAUCUAGUUUCAAAUAGUCUCAAUAAAAGACUGCUUCCCAAAGUAGAGUAAGAAAUAACUUUAUUUUUCAUUUGCCAACCCCAUGAUUGAAAAGACAUGUUGCUCCCAAAUCGACAAGAGGCAUUUUCUGAAACAAAAUUCUUCCUGAAAAUUUAGCUUGUGAAGUUAUUACACGGCAAAUCAGAGAAGGAUUACAAAAAGCUACAGCCAACAUUUAAAACUGGUAUCACGUUCUACCCCAAGCUUGGUAACAGAAGUUUUAAAGCUGUAUCAAAACCAUGUCAGCCACAGGAUAGCAACAGUAGUGGCAUUAACUGUUGUGCCUUCAACUUAAGAAAAGCAUUUAAAAUAUCCCAUUUCCUAUAAAAGAUCAUUUCCCAGGAAAGAACUGAUUUAUUCAACCAGAAGCCUAUUAGAACUGGAACUACAGAGCUCGCCGCCUCCGCCUCACAGCUCUACGUUUCCCUGUAAUCAACAAUAUCUCUAGCUAAUCAUUUGACAGAAUUUGGCUUCUCAGAAGAGUCUUUGUCAUUUAAGCACAGUGUGGAAUGGGGAAAAAAGUGUGUAGUUACAAGGGAACUAGGAGACUACAAAAGACAAUCACUUCUGAAACUCACUGAUGCUCAAGAAAUCAGAGACCCUCCAUCACAGUGGGUCUCAUAUGCCUGAGAGCUUUGUGCUUGAGGAAACACUACUUAGAGGUAGCUCUGGUUCUGGUUUAUAUUUAAUUACAAUUUGCUGUAUCCUGUCACAGGAAAGUUUCAACAUUUUCAGCAAGGUAUAAGCACUCCAAAUUUCCUCCUUACCCACCCUAUAGCUUCCCCAUAGAAAACGGUAAGAAAAAGCUUAACUGUGAGUCCAUAUAGCAUAGCGGCUAAUUCAGCAAUUCACACCCGACUAUGGACUGACAGGACUAGGAAAGGCAACCUGGUGCAACGAGCUCCAUGAGCUAGACCUGCAGAAGCGUGGUGGCCUGGCGUGUCCACAGCACGCAGGGAGAGGAGGGGAGGCUGAGUAAUUAGGGGGCACACGUGGAGAAUUUCUUCUAUGCAUUUCAUAGCACAUUCUGCCACAGCAACAAAACCACCAACUCAGGAAUGCCUUUGACUGUACUCUGAUUUCAAAGAUGUCUGUGUCCCUCCCCAACCCCCCCACCUACACUUCACGCAAGAGAGAAGGAUUACACUUCUGUACGUGAAUACAGGGCCUACAGCAAGAAGUGGGCAGGGAUGGGUACAAACAGCAUGGUCUAUACAACAAAAUACCUUUUGAAAAGAUUUAUGUAACUUUAAGUAUUAAAAUGAAGGUUUUACCUCUACAUGAAUAUCAUUCUGUAGUCCUGCUCCUACAUGCACAUGGUCUGGUCACUUUUGAAAGAGAACUCGAGCGUGAACAAGGAAUCCAAAGGGCAGUUUUACGGGAGAUGCAAGAGGUGCUAACAAACGUACCAGCGUGUCAAUCGUUCUACUCUGAGCCUCUUUAUUCAAUACUCUGUCAACUUGAAAGGAAGAAAAAGAACCAAAUAUUCAGACCAAAUUAAUUAUGUGCCAUAAACUAUUCAGCACACAGGAUAUCCUUUAAACGAUACUGAAAAAAUGUCCACUGCCUGAAGUAUUAAUUUUUAAAAAGCCAAUAAACUGAAAAUUUCAA
rnacentral:lncRNA from 1 species